rnacentral:lncRNA from 1 species
AGCAAGCGAGGGGGAAAGACUGGACCGAUCCGACCCACCCACUCCCUACCCCCACCUCCCACCUUAAAGCACCUUAUACCACGGAAGGCUCUCAGCCUCUUCUUUCCUCUGCGAACGCGCUGAGCAGCGAUUUUGAAAACGUUUUGGUCCUCUGCAGGGGCGCAUUCUGGGGUCUCUGCGCAAGACCAGCUCUCAGCUCUCUCUCCUUUCCUCGGACUCUGGAGCGGGAGCGGGCCUUUCCCUCUGGCCGACCACGCCGUAGGGGACGCCGUGAAAAGAGCCGUCGCGCCCGCUGCCUCCUGCCCGCUGCGCAGAGGGCUCCGCCCGUAGAGGUCAACUUCCCUCACCCUUUCCUCUCUCCUGCUUGCCCUCCCUCCGCCCGGCACAGGCGCUUCCAGCCCCAGACUCUGGCCACUGGCUGAGGACUGCGAGUCGGCUGCGCUGCCCUGAGCCUAAUCCUUCCUCCGGGCCCAGACCCGAGGUCCGCGCUCCUGGGCAGUGGGGAAGCUUUAGUGAGCAGGCUUUUCUCUCCGC